rnacentral:rRNA from 1 species
AGCGAACGCUGGCGGCAGGCCUAACACAUGCCAGUCGAACGAACCUUUCGGGGUUAGUGGCGGACGGGUGAGUAACACGUGGGAACGUGCCUUUAGGUUCGGAAUAACUCAGGGAAACUUGUGCUAAUACCGAAUGUGCCCUUCGGGGGAAAGAUCUAUCGCCUUUAGAGCGGCCCGCGUCUGAUUAGCUAGUUGGUUGAGGUAAUGGCUCACCAAGGCGACGAUCAGUAGCUGGUCUGAGAGGAUGAUCAGCCACAUUGGGACUGAGACACGGCCCAAACUCCUACGGGAGGCAGCAGUGGGGAAUCUUGCGCAAUGGGCGAAAGCCUGACGCAGCCAUGCCGCGUGAAUGAUGAAGGUCUUAGGAUUGUAAAAUUCUUUCACCGGGGACGAUAAUGACGGUACCCGGAGAAGAAGCCCCGGCUAACUUCGUU